rnacentral:rRNA from 1 species
CCUACGGGGGGCAGCAGUGGGGAAUAUUGGACAAUGGGCGAAAGCCUGAUCCAGCCAUGCCGCGUGUGUGAAGAAGGCCUUUGGGUUGUAAAGCACUUUCAGUGGGGAAGAAAGCCUUGGGGCUAAUACCCUCGAGGAAGGACAUCACCCACAGAAGAAGCACCGGCUAACUCCGUGCCAGCAGCCGCGGUAAUACGGAGGGUGCGAGCGUUAAUCGGAAUUACUGGGCGUAAAGCGCGCGUAGGCGGUCUGAUAAGCCGGUUGUGAAAGCCCCGGGCUCAACCUGGGAACGGCAUCCGGAACUGUCAGGCUAGAGUGCAGGAGAGGAAGGUAGAAUUCCCGGUGUAGCGGUGAAAUGCGUAGAGAUCGGGAGGAAUACCAGUGGCGAAGGCGGCCUUCUGGACUGACACUGACGCUGAGGUGCGAAAGCGUGGGUAGCAAACAGGAUUAGAUACCCGAGUAGUC